rnacentral:rRNA from 1 species
GAUGAACGCUGGCGGCGUGCCUAAUACAUGCAAGUCGAGCGAACAGACGAGGAGCUUGCUCCUCUGACGUUAGCGGCGGACGGGUGAGUAACACGUGGAUAACCUACCUAUAAGACUGGGAUAACUUCGGGAAACCGGAGCUAAUACCGGAUAAUAUAUUGAACCGCAUGGUUCAAUAGUGAAAGACGGUUUUGCUGUCACUUAUAGAUGGAUCCGCGCCGCAUUAGCUAGUUGGUAAGGUAACGGCUUACCAAGGCAACGAUGCGUAGCCGACCUGAGAGGGGGAUCGGCCACACUGGAACUGAGACACGGUCCAGACUCCUACGGGAGGCAGCAGUAGGGAAUCUUCCGGAAUGGGCGAAAGCCUGACGGAGCAACGCCGCGUGAGUGAUGAAGGUCUUCGGAUCGUAAAACUCUGUUAUUAGGGAAGAACAAAUGUGGAAGUAACUAUGCACGUCUUGACGGUACCUAAUCAGAAAGCCACGGCUAACUACGUG